GAUGAACGCUGGCGGCGUGCCUAAUACAUGCGAGUCGAGCGAACGGACGAGAAGCUUGCUUCUCUGAUGUUAGCGGCGGACGGAUGAGUAACACGUGGAUAACCUACCUAUAAGACUGGGAUAACUUCGGGAAACCGGAGCUAAUACCGGAUAAUAUUUUGAACCGCAUGGUUCAAAAGUGAAAGACGGUCUUGCUGUCACUUAUAGAUGGAUCCGCGCUGCAUUAGCUAGUUGGUAAGGUAACGGCUUACCAAGGCAACGAUGCAUAGCCGACCUGAGAGGGUGAUCGGCCACACUGGAACUGAGACACGGUCCAGACUCCUACGGGAGGCAGCAGUAGGGAAUCUUCCGCAAUGGGCGAAAGCCUGACGGAGCAACGCCGCGUGAGUGAUGAAGGUCUUCGGAUCGUAAAACUCUGUUAUUAGGGAAGAACAUAUGUGUAAGUAACUGUGCACAUCUUGACGGUACCUAAUCAGAAAGCCACGGCUAACUACGUG
rnacentral:rRNA from 1 species